UGUCAGGAGCACCUGUCAGGGUCGAGCUGGAGCCGCUCCGGAGCGACGAGGAGAUGGAGGAGAGGAAAGGAACAGGGUAUUGGAGUCAGGAUCACUCUGAGGAAAGUCCAAUCCAUGAUAGCGUUACCUGAUUGCCAAUUUGUGUCUGUCUUCAGACAUCACACACACACACAUGCACUGUAGUGGAAUGAUGGAGUUGAUUGGACAGGCUCUUGGUGCCUAACGAGGGGUCCAGGGCAAUCACAGACCAGUUGCUUUGUGACUGGAGGAGAAUGAAGGCCGCUACAGCUUGUAUUCUCAUAAUUUCUCGAUGAAAAGGGAGCGCUACACUGAUUGUCUUCCCCCCUACUGUGCAUGCAGUUGAGUUGUGUUUGAAUCGGGCGUGCUGUUCAGAAAUGUUUACUGGAACAGAGAACUUUGAUCAAACUUCUGUGAUUGAGGCUGGAAUCCUAGGGACUCAUCUUUUUCUCUGUCUUUCUUCCUCUCUCACUCUUUUUCUCUUCACUCAAUCUCUUGUUUGUCCUGCAUCUCUUUUUCUCUCCUUGCACGCACACACGCACACAUCGAUUGGAGAGUCGAUAUUGAGCAGUGGCUCUCGUCUAAAUUAAUAUUUGAUUUCUCUGGGGGUUUCAGACUGGAACCCACGGCAUUGAGUUACAGUCUAAACGUUACAGUCUGAGGGAUUGCUCUAAACGUUGUUUGAUUAAGUUUGUGUGUGUGUACGUGUGUGUGUAUGCGUGCCUGCCUGCAAUACAACCCCCUACACACACAUGCAUGCACACACUCACACACACACACACACACACACACACACACACACACACACAUCACUUGUCUAGAAUGCAUCACUCACUGCUAAGCCUCUGCCAUUAAAGCUGUUCAUUUAUCCGACACACAUGGUGACUUAUGUUUGAUUGAUGUGAGCACUAGGCCCAGAACUGUCUCUCAAACACUAGGCCCAGAACUGUCUCUCAAACACUAGGCCCAGAACUGUCUCUCAAACACUAGGCCCAGAACUGUCUCUCAAACACUAGGCCCAGAACUGUCUCUCAAACACUAGGCCCAGAACUGUCUCUCAAACACUAGGACCAGAACUGUGUCUCUCAAACACUAGGCCCAGAACUGUGUCUCUCAAACACUAGGCCCAGAACUGUGUCUCUCAAACACUAGACCCAGAACUGUGUCUCUCAAACACUAGGCCCAGAACUGUGUCUCUCAAACAGAGUCCCCAGUUCUCUGCAGCGAUAUGGUGAAACCAAAUGCUUGCCUUGUGUACUGUAGCAUCAUUCUUGCUUCAAAAUCCAAUAGUGCUAUUUGUGUACAGUAUAUGGGUGUAUUCUAGGGUUUAGGGUGGGAAGAAAAUCCUUAGUACUGCAGUCAUCCAUUGUAAUGUAAGGAUGAGAGACCCUGGUAUUGUGCUAUAACUCCAAACACAAACACAAGGUAUGUUUCUCUCUGUCAGUGUGUUUGUUUACUUUGUUCUGUUGUUUGUGAGAUCUGAUUGGUAUCAGCGCAGCAGUGUGUGUGUGUGUGUGUGAGAGAGAGUGUGAGAGAGUGUGUGUGUGUGUGAGAUUGAGAGUGAGAGUGAGAGAGAGAGAGAGAGAGAGAGAGAGAGAGAGAGAGAGAGAGAGAGCACGCUGGGGUAAUCUGCUUCUGCAAGAGUUUGUUACAUUAUUCAUCUUCCUGGGGCUCUGCGGCAGGGAGGGAGCAGCGGAGAGGGGUGGAGGAAUAGAGGAAGAGAGAGAAAUGGGGAGAGAGAAACAGAGAGGGUAAAGGACUCAGAUAGAGCAGCCAAACAUCUACGCACUGAGAGAUACAGUAUCAGAUACAUUACUCCCAGAUUGAAGCGGGUUAUUCAUGAACUUUACAGCCACAGUAAAACAGUCUUCUAAAACCCAACUUAAAAAAUACCGAAGUGACCUUCAUGGGAGGGAUCUCAGAUAUUUGUGACUCCAGAGUAUGUUGUUCAGAGCAGACAUCUGUUCUAAACAGACAGGUACUAGUUAACCUGAGCCUUGUAUUAAAUGUCCACCCCAAGGCCUGGGGCGAGGUAAAGAGAAGAGACAGUGUGAGGAAAGGGCUGGGUAUCGAUCCUUAGAGACAGACUUUGGCCUUCGGAUCAGACAAUAUUGACAGGCUAUCACCCACACACCCAGCGAAGUCUGACACUGUCGGACACCCAUCAUUAACACACACACGUGCAUGCAUACCCAUACGCCGGAGGGAGGCUUGAGUGUGUGUGAGGCGGAGGGCUGUGUGCUUGGGAUGCGGAGCACGUCCGAGGUCUGUGAAGUUCUCCUUGCAGCAAAGCCUCAUUAAAGAGGCUCGCCUUAACACAGCUAUCUACAGCCAGACCAGACCUGACCACACACACAGAGAGGGAAGGAGAUAGAGAGAGAGCGAGAGAGAGUGAAAGAGACACUGAGGAACACAAGCACGCACACAAACACCUGAAAUACUAUAUAAAUCUUUCUCAGGACACUGGUUUUACACAGUGUUUGAGUGGGAGCGAAUGGGUUUGUUAGAAGAAGAAGAAUGUUCGCUGCCAUGGUGAUUUAAUCAGACACACAAAAAAAGACCUGACGAAGAUCCAACUCGGCUCGAAACCCUGUUCUUUUUUUGCGUCAGAUUAAAUUACCCUGGGAGCACACCAAAGUUGCAGACAUUCUUUUUUCUUUGAUCUGUCCUGCACCUGAUAAGUUGUAUGUGCAUAUUUGUCUAUUUUUUAUUUUAUUAUAUUUUUACAAUGGGAUUGUUCUCAUCAGGGAGGGUGGGAUUUGACCCCUCCCUCUACAUCCACAGUGUUUAAACUAUGUUCUCCCAAAACAAUUCCCCUCCUACAGUAAUAUGAUAUUCAUGUAUAUUUGAUUGUGUCACCUCUGUGGAGAUUGCCUAUGGUGUGUCUGUGUGCCUUUUAAAUCUGUGUUUAUGAAUAAGUAAUAGAUUGCUAUGCACUCUGAUUAUUAAAGAAGCCAUAUUGCCAGGAAGCCAUGAUGAAAUUAUAUUGUAAUUCCUGCAUCUCCGAUGAAUACAUUUAUAUUUUUCUUUCUUGCAAUUUCUUUCCUGUUUCUGUUCCGGUAAAUGAGCGCUAAAGCUCUCUUGUUUUGCGCUGAGACUCCCUGACGUUUACAUUUGUAUGGUUUUCACAACUGCGCUGAGAUUUUUUUAAUAAAACUGUCCUGUUUCUAAAUA
rnacentral:lncRNA from 1 species